rnacentral:ncRNA from 1 species
AUAGGGGUGAAAGGCCAAUCAAACUCCGUGAUAGCUGGUUCUCUCCGAAAUGCAUUUAGGUGCAGCGUUGCGUGUUUCUUGCCGGAGGUAGAGCUACUGGAUAGCCGAUGGGCCCCAAAAGGUUACUGACGUUAGCCAAACUCCGAAUGCCGGUAAGUGAGAGCGCAGCAGUGAGACGGUGGGGGAUAAGCUUCAUCGUCGAGAGGGAAACAACCCAGACUACCAACUAAGGUCCCCAAGCGUGUGCUAAGUGGGAAAGGAUGUGGAGUUGC